rnacentral:rRNA from 1 species
CAGCAGCCGCGGUAAUACGUAGGGGUGCUAGCGUUAUUCGGAAUUAUUGGGCGUAAAGGGCGCGUAGGCGGUCACGCACGUCCGUUGUGAAAUCGCUCGGCUCAACUGGGCGGGGUCAGCGGAUACGGCGUGGCUGGAGCAAGCUAGGGGGCAAUGGAAUUCCCGGUGUAGUGGUGGAAUGCGUAGAUAUCGGGAGGAACACCAGUGGCGAAGGCGGUUGCCUGGAGCUUUGCUGACGCUGAUGCGCGAAAGCGUGGGGAGCGAUCCGGAUUAGAUACCCGGGUAGUCCACGCCGUAAACGAUGCGGACUAGGUGUCGGGGGUAUCGACCCCCUCGGCGCCGCAGCUAACGCCUUAAGUCCGCCGCCUGGGGACUACGGCCGCGAGGCUAAAACUCAAAGGAAUUGACGG